rnacentral:rRNA from 1 species
UACGUAGGGGGCAAGCGUUGUCCGGAAUCAUUGGGCGUAAAGAGCGUGUAGGCGGCCCGGUAAGUCCGCUGUGAAAGUCCAGGGCUCAACCCUGGAAUGCCGGUGGAAACUGUCGGGCUAGAGUCCGGAAGAGGCGAGUGGAAUUCCUGGUGUAGCGGUGAAAUGCGCAGAUAUCAGGAGGAACACCAAUGGCGAAGGCAGCUCGCUGGGACGGUACUGACGCUGAGGCGCGAAGGCCAGGGGAGCAAACGGG